rnacentral:misc_RNA from 1 species
AACUUACCUACAACGUUGCUUCGGCGGGAACAGACGGCCCCGUAAAAUGGGCCGCCCCCGCCAGAGGACCCCUAACUCUGUUUUUAUAAUGUUUUUCUGAGUAAACAAGCAAAUAAAUUAAAACUUUCAACAACGGAUCUCUUGGCUCUGGCAUCGAUGAAGAACGCAGCGAAAUGCGAUAAGUAAUGUGAAUUGCAGAAUUCAGUGAAUCAUCGAAUCUUUGAACGCACAUUGCGCCCGCCAGUAUUCUGGCGGGCAUGCCUGUUCGAGCGUCAUUACAACCCUCAGGCCUCCGGGCCUGGCGUUGGGGAUCGGCGGAGCCCCCUAGUAGCUAACACCUCGCAACUGGAGAGCGGCGCGGCCACGCCGUAAAACACCCAACUUCUGAA